rnacentral:tRNA from 3 species
GCCCAGGUAGCUCAGUCGGUAGAGCAGCGGAUUGAAAAUCCGCGUGUCGGCGGUUCGAUUCCGUCCCUGGGCACCA